rnacentral:rRNA from 1 species
CAGUAGCCGCGGUAAUACGAAGGGUGCAAGCGUUACUCGGAAUUACUGGGCGUAAAGCGUGCGUAGGUGGUGGUUUAAGUCCGUUGUGAAAGCCCUGGGCUCAACCUGGGAAUUGCAGUGGAUACUGGGUCACUAGAGUGUGGUAGAGGAUAGUGGAAUUUCCGGUGUAGCAGUGGAAUGCGUAGAGAUCGGAAGGAACAUCUGUGGCGAAGGCGACUAUCUGGGCCAACACUGACACUGAGGCACGAAAGCGUGGGGAGCAAACAGGAUUAGAUACCCCUGUAGUCCCUGUCUCUUAUAC